UGGCGAGCUCCAUGAAAAGAGGCAGAAGGACGAAUCUGAUGAAGCCGAUUUGAGAUGAAGAAGUCAAAAGCAGGCAGGAUGGACUUGAACUUGUUGAGGAUCUCGUUGUGCCUCGUCAUGUCGGUGGCCAGGAUGCACCUGCAGGAGAACCAUGAUCUCUGCGUCCUCCCACUGCCUGAAGAGACAGAAGCAGAACAUGAGCCCAGAGCGCCUACAGAUGAGGAUCUGCUAGAACACGCCGACUAAAGGCUGGAACCUGGACACUGCUGAGCAGAACGUUUAAGACCUUUUCGCCUACUUCGUGUUGUCAGACGGGUUCUACUGCAGCGGUUUCUUGGUCAGGCAGGAACGACGCUGAGUGUUUGGAGAACCACAGCUGACUCUUUGUAUUCAGUGAGAACGGCUCUCAGCUGUAGCAUCAGGAACGUUAGAACGCUUAGAACCUUCACUGGAUAACCUGCAGCCACAGCUUUGACUAUUUUAAACGUGUUGAGUCCGUUUUUGUCGUAUAUCCUGUCGUCUGUAGCGACGCUGACACCAACCAGCCUCCAUGGCCAACAUAUUUACAUGAGCUCUUUAGAACUCGGCCUAAUUAAUACGUGAAUAAAAUAAAAAGCUGAUUUUAGUACUUCAAACGUUUGCUGAAGGCCUUCCUUUGAUGUGCAGCUCCUUCUGAAGGCCCAUUCAUAUUCAGAU